rnacentral:rRNA from 1 species
UACGGGGGGAGCAAGCGUUGUUCGGAUUUACUGGGCGUAAAGGGCGCGUAGGCGGCCAGCGCAAGUCAGUUGUGAAAUCUCCGGGCUUAACUCGGAACGGUCAACUGAUACUGCGCGGCUAGAGUGCAGAAGGGGCAACUGGAAUUCUCGGUGUAGCGGUGAAAUGCGUAGAUAUCGAGAGGAACACCUGCGGCGAAGGCGGGUUGCUGGGCUGACACUGACGCUGAGGAGCGAAAGCCAGGGGAGCAAACGGG